AUUGAACGCUGGCGGCAUGCUUUACACAUGCAAGUCGAACGGUAACAGGCCUUCGGGUGCUGACGAGUGGCGAACGGGUGAGUAAUGCAUCGGAACGUGCCCAGAGGUGGGGGAUAACGCAGCGAAAGCUGUGCUAAUACCGCAUGUGAUCUGAGGAUGAAAGCGGGGGACCAGGCAGCAAUGUUUGGCCUCGCGCCUUUGGAGCGGCCGAUGUCAGAUUAGGUAGUUGGUGGGGUAAAGGCCUACCAAGCCGACGAUCUGUAGCUGGUCUGAGAGGACGACCAGCCACACUGGGACUGAGACACGGCCCAGACUCCUACGGGAGGCAGCAGUGGGGAAUUUUGGACAAUGGGCGCAAGCCUGAUCCAGCAAUGCCGCGUGCGGGAAGAGGGCCUUCGGGUUGUAAACCGCUUUUGUACGGAACGAAAAGGCUCUGGCUAAUACCUGGGGCUGAUGACGGUACCGUAAGAAUAAGCACCGGCUAACUACGUG
rnacentral:rRNA from 1 species